GCAGUUCCUUAACUAUAGGCCAAGAGGACUUCUACAGCAGUAGCAGGAGACAUAUUUAUAUUGACUCUAGUGGGCUGAGAGCAGGACGUGAGGCAGGGGCAAACAGGGUAGGGAGAAAAGCAGAAAUGAAUUAAAUUUGGAUUGGACCUAGUUUCUCUUUUCUCCAUCUUCUGCAGGUGGAGCUGUGUUUCAACAGACCAGCAGACCUAGUCUUGCUUUCCACUCCCAGUUCUAAAGCAUGUUCACGAGAAGGAGUGGCAUGAGACUGGCACGAGAUCAACCCCACCUCGGAAUCAUCUCUAAGCUGUCUCUUUAUGCUGAUAAUCGUGCAAAAUACUAUAAGUCCUAUGAGUACAUGCAUCCUUUCACCCAUAUAUCUUCGAAGAGAGAAAGAAAGUGAGGUCCUGUUGGUUUCAGAGAUACAGGCACCAUCUACCUGGACAGUCCCUCUUCUGGGCAUCUAAAGAGCCAAGUGGAGAAACACUGCUGUCCCUGUUUGGCCCGCAAGCCACCUGGAAUCCUAAUAAGGAUAGCCUAAUUAUAAAAGACCAAAGAAAGAAGAAAACAUAUUUAUUUGCCCAAACCUCUCGGAUCCAUCCUACACAUCUGGCUUGUGAGAAUUCUUUGUGUAACACCUCAGUUGUAAAUUUCUUACAUGUUCUUCUUAGGAGUUUUAAUCAAAGCAAUUCUGAGCUGGUAUAGCAGCUACUUCUACAAACAGUAACCUUUUUUUUUUGUCAUUCUGUUAAACCUUUUCCACCCUUCAUUUUGGAUUUCAGUGCUGUGAUUCAUUCAUUUUUUAUUCAAAUUUCCCAUAUUGUUUUAUACCAGGCUUUAAUUCCUAACUCGUUCAAAUAUUUCCAUUGCCUUGUAAUGUUUAUUGUCGCUGCAUGUAUUAGAUAAUGUAGGAAUACUGCUGAUAAAAAAGAUACAUUAAGAUCUGUGAAAUUAUGUAGUAUGUAAAUAUUAUGUUUAUUGAUAAUAUAUUGUUCACGGUGCAAUGGUUUUUUUUCCAGAAUCCUUCCACUUUAGGACAUUGGCCUUAGGGAGAAAUGAUAUGACAUGUGGAAGAGACAUAAGAGCAUUGUUGCUGUUCCAAUAAUCUGUUACCAAAGCAAACUGGAACAUUUUGUCUAAGGGUGCCUUCAGAUGCACGGUAAAACCUGUGAUUGUCUUGGCACUAUAUUGCAAAUGCCAGAUACAUCCAAGGCAUUCCCAAUAUAGUCCUGCUGUAGUUUGUUGAAAACCUUAUAUAUUGCUAUUACANGAGAUCUGGCAAUGUCAGUGGGUUUCCUGUAAUAGCUCUGCUUACCUUGACAUUUGGUGAGCAUCUUUCAUGAUCAGGUUGCUUGGGGCUAUUGGAAGUCAGNCAAGCACGCAAAAAACAGCAAAAGGAAGCAUGCCGUUGCUNGGCUGGCUUCUGGUAGCCUCAGUUGCUCUGAUAGCAAAAGCUCCUCACUAGAUAUCAAGGUGAGCCCAGAAUUGCUCCUUGCAUCUGGUGGCAUCUGGAAAACGGCAAUCACAGGAGCUUGUUUAGUUCACACUUUGGNCCUUUCUGCACUUGGCC
rnacentral:lncRNA from 1 species